rnacentral:lncRNA from 1 species
ACUUCCGUCUGCGUGGGGCCCACAUCCUGGAGCGCCCAGGCUUCCGAGGGGCAGACGGUGGGACCUGGUCCGGGCUGAGGUCCUGGCGGGUGAGCAGGAUCUUCGCCGUGCGGCGCAGAGGGUGACAGUGGAGAAGGUGACCAGAAGCCAGAAGGAGCCUAUGUGAAAGAUUAGCCCUGAGCUACCAUAUGCUGCCAAUCCUCCUGUUUUUGCGAGGAAGACUGGCCCUGAGCUAACAUCCAUGCCCAUCUUCCUCUACUUUAUAUGUGGGAUGCCUGCCUCAGCAUCGCUUGCCAAGAAGUGCCAUGUCCGCACCCAGGAUCCGAACCAGAGAACCCUGGGCCGCCGAAGUGGAACAUGUGCACUUAACUGCUGCACCACCAGGCUAGCCCCUCUGUGACUGUGUAUAGCACGCAAUGAAUACUUACAGCAUCCACAUGUCUGCUUCCACCAGGUUCACACCCAGGAUCUGGACUGGUGAAACCCCUGGCCACCGAAGCAGAGCUCUCGAACUCAACUACUCGGCCACGGGGCGGGCCACCUAAUGUG